rnacentral:piRNA from 1 species
UGGAUGGUGAGCUAGGAAAGCUACCUGGGU